AUGAUAGAAAAAGUUCUUCAUUUCUUCAUUCAGGUGGAAUCGGAUCAACUCUAUAUGGACAGGGUGGAAGGGUUAUAUGUACCUCAAUGGCAAAUUAUGGAACUGGGGAUAAUGCAGGAAAUGAGUCAGGUUACAUUGUAGGAAUGACCACUUGUUAUCCUAAACUAGGUUCUGUAAAGAUCAUUGAUGGCGAAAAAUUAAAGAAUAAUGCUACACAUCCAAGUCUUUGGAUCCGGAUCCUCUAAAGUUGUAUUGUCACUUUAAAGAUUAUUAAUCACCAUUGAAUUAAGAUAGAAAAGUGAUUAAAGCAUUACUUUAUCACUUUACUAACAUUGUUACUUUAGAGAAUCUUUUUCUCAAGUCUUUUUGUUAACCAAGUCCAACAAAGUUAGUUAACAUAACAAAAAUCAAUUAUGGCUAGUAUUGCUCCAAGUCUUAUUGUUUAACUUGAUUGGACUUGGUUCAUAAAAUGACUUUGAUGUGUAGCAUUACUCAAAAUUAACUCUGGAGUACUACAGCAGCACCACGCGAGGUCACACCGGAAUCAUGGGGCUUUUCUACCAACUGGUUGUAGAACAGCUUCCUCAUCAACACUACUUCACUCAUUCCUCUCCUUUCUUCAGGAAUAUAAACAAUGUAUUUAACUCAUUUUGGCAAUAAUGUUAAUGGGAGUGGUGUGUCAUGUAAUAUAAUAUAAAUAUGUGGAAAGUAAAAUAAAGUUAUAGCAUAUGAUACUUAUAAAUUAAAUUAAGUUUAUUUAUUGAAAAACUUAUGGGGUCAGCAAUUGUUAGUAUUUUUUGUUGUUAUUUAAUCAGUACAAAUACUAAAUUAUUUAUUAAGCAGGUUUAAAGCUGUUGCCCGGCCUAAACCACCGGAAAAAUAUCCCGCUGACAACCCACACUGCCUAACCUGCCGGAACAAUCAUACAUAUACAAGACGAGACAAUGCAUCGAUUCAAGAACUCGAAAUUUAACUUUAUCUGCAAGCAUUUUUGUCGAAUUCCAUAAGAGGCCAAAACUUUUUUUCGCCCUAUACAAAUGUCACUAACAACGUGUUUGAUCGUCUAUUUCAUGAAACCCUAGAAUCACACACAGCCCAUUAGAAAAGCAUACAGAGCCAGCUUUCAUAUAACCAUGUAAUGUACAUUAUUCAUGCAAUCGGAUUGCAUCUCAUUCAUCAUUGUGUUCUUAGCAAGAUACUAUCACAUAUAAGCAUAAA